UCUGCAUGUCGAAUUGCUAGAAGUGGUUUCAACUAUUAGAGGACGCACUUUUGUUCUUCUCAAAUUGUUGCUUUUGCCCAAAAAUGGAGGUAUUUCUAUUGUUCAAUUUUGAUACUGCCUGUUGUGGGAAUAAAGGGUCCGAACUUAAUCCCACAUCGACUAGAUAGUGGAGAGAUUUGUUCCUUAAUGGAGGGGGGAUAUCCCUUUCUCUUCAGAUGUACCUUUUGUGGGGCAAAAUCGUCCGUUGAGAAGAGACUAUGAAACCCCCUUCAAAGCGGACAAUAUCUUUGAGGAGAAGCAGUUGCCUCCACUGUCUGAGACCGAAGGGAACGAGGUCGGAGGACGAUAGAUCCCCCCGUAGUGCUGGACGCGCGGAUC
rnacentral:lncRNA from 1 species